rnacentral:lncRNA from 1 species
CUCUAGAACCCAUAUGGAUAUAGUUAUCAUAUAAUUUAUCCCUUUGAUAUUUGAUGCUCAAAAAUGACUUUGGGUUAAAUUGUCAACUCAGAAUGAGUGGUCCACAUUGUGUCUCAACCUCAAAAAUAUUGUGACUCCUCACUAGGAUUAAUUUGAUCAAAAUUUUGCUAAAUUGAAACAUAAUGAUACAUCAUCUCUAAUUUUAUUUGGAGCGAUCAAUUCUAUCUUGACUCACACUC